AUCAUGGUGGCUCUACAUUGAACUCUCUCCAGUGUGUCCAGCGUGAACAUACAGUGAAGACAAGAGGAGGUCAGCUGGUGUGUACUUGGAGACAUUUUGGUCAGCAGACGUAUGAUCUACACAUACACGUACACACAUAUACACAAGAUUUAAUUGUCUCCAGCAGAGAAGGCAGAAUUCCAUGCUGUCAUGCCCUCUUAUAACAAUACUCAAUCCAGUAUAAUAAUUCAUCACUGCUGCUGAGGACCACCUUCCAGCUUCUGUAACUGCAAUAUAACACUGUACUUGCCUUGACGUUUUCAUGCCUUGUUAGCUUACUAUUUAAAGGAAAUGGAAUAAUAAACUGGAAUACAAUUUCAUCUUCACAAUUCAGUUUCUUUUCACCUUACCUUUAAAUUCUCCAGUGGCUUGUUCCUUCAUGUAUUCCCUGAAACAAUAUUUUUUUUGAUAACACUGAAAAGCUUAAAGUUGUUGGAAGAGUUUA